AAGAAACAUUUUGUACUGAAUUAUGUGAAGUCAUAUUUUGAGUCGAUAUCACGCUGAAAAAGUUAAAAAUUUGAGUUUUUUAGAUGUUAAGUAUCGAAACUUGAUGUUUGAAUAUCGUUACUGAGAAGUACAUCAGAAGUUCUUUAGAAACCGAAGCUGUGAAAAUCAGGUUUUUGUAUUGAGUACAGGUACACGAUUUUGAAGCAUAGGUGCUGAAAUUCUUGUGCGUUUCAGUACUGGUACUCAAAUUUGAAUGCCGG
rnacentral:lncRNA from 1 species